rnacentral:rRNA from 1 species
CCUACGGGAGGCAGCAGUGGGGAAUAUUGCACAAUGGGGGAAACCCUGAUGCAGCGACGCCGCGUGAGUGAAGAAGUAUUUCGGUACGUAAAGCUCUAUCAGCAGGGGAGCAAAUGACGGUACCUGACUAAGAAGCCCCGGCUAACUACGUGCCAGCAUCCGCUGUAAUCCGUAGGGGGCCAGCGUUAUCCGGGUUUACUGGGGGUAAAGGGGGCGUUGACGGCAUCACAAGGCGGGAGGGAAAUCGCAUGGCUUAACCAUGGAACUGCUUUGGAAACUGUGCAGCUAGAGUGCAGGAGAGGUAAGCGGAAUGCGUAGUGUAGCGGUGAAAUGCGUAGAUAUUAGGAGGAACACCAGUGGCGAAGGCGGCUUACUGGACUGUGACUGACGUUGAGGCUCGAAAGCGUGGGGAGCAAACAGGAUUAGAUACCCUGGUAGUC